rnacentral:rRNA from 1 species
AGCUCCAAUAGCGUAUAUUAAAGUUGUUGUGGUUAAAAAGCUCGUAGUUGGAUCUCGGCGGUCUUGGGGCGGUUCGCUUUGUUGUGUGCUUCUUUUCUAUAGGCCGCGGUUUUUCCAGAGGUCUCGGGGCGCUUUUUACCGAGUGUCUUGCGAUGCUGGCAGGUUUACUUUGAAAAAAUUAGAGUGCUCAAAGCAGGCUUUUACGCCUGAAUAUUCGUGCAUGGAAUAAUAGAAUAGGAAGUCGUUUCUAUUUUGUUGGUUUUCGGAAAUCGACUUAAUGAUUAAUAGGGACAGUCGGGGGCAUUUGUAUUCAAACGACAGAGGUGAAAUUCUUGGACCGUUUGAAGACAAACUACUGCGAAAGCAUUUGCCAAGAAUGUUUUCA